GCGCCGCUGAGGCGGUGCACCCGGUUCCGCAGAACAGGGCCCCACAUUUGGGGGGGCCCCGAAUCGCGCAAAAUCCCCUCCUCCCUACCCAGCCGCCCCCCAAAUCACGCAGAACAGAAGAAGAAAAAAAAAGGUCAAGCAAAAUUCGAAAAAAAUUCAGAAGAAAAAAGAUCUUAGGCAAUGAAGAAUCCUAAUCUCGUCGCCGCUUUCAUCUUCUCUUCCUCGCGUCCGCCGCCUUCGCCGAGAUCAAGGACUUCAAGAUCGCCGACGACUCCCGCCCUCUGAUCCUCUUCGAGAAAUUCGGAUUCACCUCCGAUGGCGCCGCUAACAUCGCCGUCGCCGAGGCCACCUUAUCCUCCUCCGUCUCCUCCGCCGACCCCUCCCUCUUCGGCUUCUUCCUCCACUCCUCCUCCAACCUCCUCCAAACGCUAAUCGCCGACGACCAGCCCCAAAACCCUAACCCUAGCCCGUGCAUCCUCUCAAGCCCCUACAUCCGCCUCCUCUUCACCUUUCGAGAUCUCUCCCCACCUCCCUUCAUCUCCUACAAUCGGGCUUUUCCGAUCGCCCUCGCCGAUGACUACAGUCUCUUCUUCGCAAAUUGCGUUCCCGAAUCCGAGGUCUCAAUGUCGGUCCGCACUGUGCUUUACAACGCUCAAGCCUCAACCUGACGGAUCUCGUGAUUAUUUGCCGAUCGGCGAGGCGCCGGUGCCGACCAUAUGCUUCCUUUUCUCUUUGAUUUAUGUGGCAUUCUUAGUUAUUUGGAUUCAUUAGGAAUAAACUCAGUUUGCAAAUUGUGUAAAAAGUUAUUGAUGUUCAUUACAAUUGAAGAUUGUCUACUGUUUUCAUCUGACAAUCUCGUUCUUGUUAUUGCUACUGUCACUUUUGCAGGAAUUUCGUCAUCCAGGGUUGUUACUCUUGGUUCAAUUGAAAUCUUUAAUACUCAUGAAUGGCUACCUACAAGACCAACUAUAUAUUUUAAGUGCCAAGGAGGGAACAAGACGGUUCUACCUGAUGUGAAGAAAACACACUUCUUAUAUGUUUUCAAAGGUGAAGAGUCAUGGCAGGUCAUCGAGGAAAACGUCGAAGACCGAAGGGAAGGCAACUAAAAAUCUCAACAAGCUUGUCGGACAUGUCAAGAUUAUUAGUAAGAUGUUGAUUUUGUGUAUCUUUUUUUUACUAUUAAUAUUUUGCACGUGAUAUGUUUUGCAUAGAACCAUUGUUAUGUCUUAAUGUUUGUUUUAAUUCUA